rnacentral:rRNA from 1 species
UACGUAGGGUGCGAGCGUUGCCCGGAUUUAUUGGGCGUAAAGGGCGCGUAGGCGGCCACGCACGUCCGUUGUGAAAUCGCCCGGCUCAACUGGGCGGGGUCAGCGGAUACGGCGCGGCUGGAGCAAGCUAGGGGGCAAUGGAAUUCCCGGUGUAGUGGUGGAAUGCGUAGAUAUCGGGAGGAACACCAGUGGCUAAGGCGGUUGUCUGGAGCUUUGCUGACGCUGAUGCGCGAAAGCGUGGGGAGCGAUCCGG